AGAAAUAAUUCGAAAAAAUAUGUAAUUUAAAUCUCAUUAGAACUCAACUGAAAAAAAGUCGUAACCAAUAGGCCAUUUAAUUAUUUUUAUAAUGAAAUACUUUUCUUCGCAUACGCUAAUGUUUAAAGGUACUUUUUUCGAGCCUUGAAAUUUUGAAAAUUCAUAAUUUACAAUUUCUUUAUAUUGAGUCGAAACAAAAAAUACGUGCCAAUAUUUUUCCGCAAAGAAUACAAAAAAAAUAUGUUUCGCACGAAAAAAAAGUUUGAAUGUAAAAUUUCGAUUAGUGAUCUUCAAUAACUUUUUACUGCAAGGUGGAGAGUGUUGGAGGCAAUUUCUAUGAGUAUAAAAAAAUUAAGCUUAGUCUGUGAGAUAUGUACACCAAUCAAUAUUAACUUUUGAAAUCACAAAAGUUGGAAGAACCAAGCGAAAAUAUUGCUUUUUUAUAACAUUUUGUAACGAUAUUCAAAGGAACAACUCAGCUGAGUAGUCAUUUGAUAACACAAACUUCUCUUAAAAGCAAGAAUUUUAUCUACAUCGAAUAGUUUGAAAAUGGUGCGGACUCUAAGUGCUCAGAGAGUGAAUUCAAGCCGUAAGAAUUACAAGUGAUGGUCAAAAAAAAAUAACACUACUCGGUCAACUUUCUAAGAAUCUCACUUAAGAGGCACACCUAGUGUGAACGCUUAAAACAAGGCGAUAUUUGGAAAAAAGCUACUGCAUCAAUUAUUUUAAAAUUUUGAGCUUAUAUUUAUACAAAUAUUGAGAGUACAAUCUUAGAAGAAAAGAAUUAAGUAACAAGCGAACUUGGAGGGCGCUAAAAAGCAGCCACUAUUGCAGCGAGUCCGGCUUUAAACUUGGCUGAAAUUUAAUAAACCUCUCUCGGAAAAAUAUAGCGUUUAAAAAAAUUUGGAAUUUUGGUCGUUUUUGAUCUGCAAAUAUUUGAUUUUCGAUCAGAUCAAAAAAAUUGGUAAGUUAUUGCAUGGAGAACCAUAUAGAACUUGCUGAAAAUUUGAUAGUAAUCUAAUUAUUUGUCUCCGAGAAAACCAAAAAUAUUAUUUCGAAAAAACAACGCGUUUAAAAAUUAACUGAUGGCAUGGCUUGAACUGAGCAGCUGCUCAUUUGAAAGCUGUAACUCAAAAACUAUUUGAGAUAUCGUUUUUAGUGAAUUAGUAUUUUUUAAGAUAAAGAAUAACGAAAUAUGUAAAAUAUAAAAUAGAAGAUCUUGGUAAAGCAAAAAAAGAAGUGUCCUAAAUUAAAAGCGUGAGAAAAGAAUAGUGGUUUAGCAAAUUUUCAUAUAGUUAAUCUAUAAAAUAUUCAAAAUAUUUUCAAUAAAGUGCAUCCAAAAGGUAAAAGAUAAUAUUUCAUCUUCUCUUAUUUUGCAAUUGCUGCAUUUUUUAAAAGUUUUUCUUUACAAACAUACUUUUUGCUCUUAUUCAGAAUUCCAACAACACUCAAUAGCGAGCGCUCCGUUGCCUUUUAUUAUUGUAAUGCUUUAUCAGACAUUCAUUUUUUAAUGAAUAAAUAUCAAUUAUGUAAAAAGCAAGAAUAGGAAAAGUAAAAAAAAAAAUAUAAAAAAAUUUAAGCCAAAAAAAAUAAAUGCCUGAAGUCUCAUAAUCGAAAUCAUAACAUUUACACGUCAAACGCGUUUAAUGAGAAGAACAUAAGUGUCAUAGCAAUAUGCAAAACAUAUCAUAAAUGUUGUAAUUUACUGUGUUAAUGCUAAUGUGGUGAAAGCACAGCACUCCAAAUGAACUCAUAUUAUACAUACAUACAAAUACCGAAUAUAAGUGCACCAAAAUAAAUACCGUUAAUAUCUACAUGUACAUACUUGUAUUUAUGUAUUUAAUAGUAAUAAUAAUCGGCGACAAGCGUCAAUGUACAUACAUACUUGUAUACACAACCUAAAUAUAUAUGUACCAUAUACGCCAUUAAUACAUGAAUACAACAUAUGUGUGUUUGUGUGUGUGUGAAAUGUUAAAAUCUUAAGAAAUAUGUAUAAUUGGUGUACUUUGUAUUUGUGACGCAAUGCAAACAAAGAUAACAAAUUCAAAACAAAACUUUACGCAGGUGAACCUGAACAAAAAAGAGAAAACAGAAAAUAGAAAACAAAAACAAACGUUUCCUUCGGCAUACAACUGCCACCGAGGCGUAUACGUAAUAUGCUACAAGGCGUAUGCGUAAUUAAAAUGCGUGCCGGCCGUGUGUAUGCGAGAUAUAUGCAUAUGUAUGUAACUGUGUGCAAAUGUGUUUGUAUUUAUAUCCGUUCAACAAUCUAUCGUCAAAGUCGACGUUGCGGCACCGAACUGGAGAAAGCAGAAGCAAGCGCCAAUACACACACCCACACGACGGCUACAUAAUGCGAAUGUGUGCGCGUGUGUGUAACUGGUGGAUGUCACAAAAAUGUCAAAUGUCACAUAAAUGUCAGCGCAAAGCAAAGUAGAGUUGCAUAACGUAAUUUUAUUUAUAUGCAAAAGAUAAAACGGAAUAAAUUUCCCACCACGCAUAUACGCAGACACACACAUCGGCGCAGGCGAAGCGAAUGUAGUUGGAGCUGAGCAUUGAAUUUAGGCGUUGAAGAGCUUGUUUGAAUAUGAGACGAAACGAGUAUUACGAAUUACCAUAAAAUUCAUGCAUUUGCGUGACUUAGCAUUUUGCCUCAAAUUUUGUUGUUUUGUUUUUAUUGUAAUUUUCUAUAACUGCGGUAUUUCGCGCUUAUUGUUGUUGCUGCUAUUGUUAUGCAAGGAAAUAAUUGUGCGUAUGUUGACCCCGAUUAAUUCAAUUGUACUGAAAGAGUUUUUCAAUUCAUUGUAUAAUACUUAAGUGCCGUAAAUAUAUUAUAAUUACUAUAUGGCUUUUUGAGAAAGUUUAAGGAUAUGUGUAUAUGCGUGAAGAGAUAUUGCAAAAAUAAAUAAAGAAAAUUAAAUGUAGACUUCAAAUGCAUGAGCUUUUAACUAUUACCACAUUUAUAUGAGCCAAAAGCGCUAUUUACAUCGCAGAAGUCUCUAGUAACUUUAAUAAUUUGACAGGAGAUUGACAUUUAUCAUAUAUCGAGCAGAACCAAACCAGUUCCCUACUAGCUCCAGAAAGGCAAAAAAAAAAAAAAA